AUUGAACGCUAGCGGGAUGCUUUACACAUGCAAGUCGAACGGCAGCGCGGACUUCGGUCUGGCGGCGAGUGGCGAACGGGUGAGUAAUGUAUCGGAACGUGCCCAGUAGCGGGGGAUAACUACGCGAAAGCGUAGCUAAUACCGCAUACGCCCUACGCGGGAAAGCAGGGGAUCGUAAGACCUUGCACUAUUGGAGCGGCCGAUAUCGGACUAGCUAGUUGGUGAGGUAACGGCUCACCAAGGCGACGAUCCGUAGCUGGUUGGAGAGGACGACCAGCCACACUGGGACUGAGACGCGGCCCAGACUCCUACGGGAGGCAGCAGUGGGGAAUUGUGGACAAUGGGGGCAACCCUGAUCCAGCCAUCCCGCGUGUGCGAUGAAGGCCUUCGGGUUGUAAAGCACUUUUGGCAGGAAAGAAACGUCGCGGGCUAAUACCCCGUGGAACUGACGGUACCUGCAGAAUAAGCACCGGCUAACUACGUG
rnacentral:rRNA from 1 species